rnacentral:lncRNA from 1 species
UGGAAGAGGAAACUCCAUGAUUGCUGUUUUCUCUGCCAUUCCUUUAAUCCCGACCCCUGUCCUGCCUUCCCGGAAUUGUAAUUCUCUCUCAUUCUGCUUACUUCCAUCCUUCCUGGUUCUCGCUUAGGGACUUGUGGUUUCUGUUCAUGAACUGAGGUGAGGCUGCCUUCCUGCUUUCACAGAGAUCCUCCGUGUCUCGGACCACUGAAGCACUCUGUGCACAGGGUUCAUGUGGGCCAGCACAGCUCUCUCUCCAGAAGGGGCUGCACCGUCAUGUCCCACCACUUGCCGUCCUGCGUCUGGAGACACUUCUGAUGGACGAAGGUCACGUGAGCAUGGCCCCUGCUUCCAGCAUUCUACUGAUAGUUGUGGAUUAUUCAGGAAGACUAAGAUAAUGGCAACUAAAAUAAGUAGGUAAGGAGUAUUUUUCUUGAUUCUAACCAUUCCAUCUGUCUGACUAUAUUUAUAGUAUGUAAAACACCUGUUUUUAUUUCCAAGGGACCAAUCUGGUUCUAAAGUCGCAGCUGGUGAUAGUCUGUGAGGGUGUUUAGAUACUAUUUCUUGAGCAAGGCAGAUGGCUAUCAAAAGCAACUUCAUAGUUUUUCUUUUCUAUCACCAUCCCCAGAUUUGGACAAUCGCAUGUGGACAGAAUUGACAGGACGUGAGCUUGAAAAGUACAGGGCAUGUGUUGUGCUGGUAAUGCACAAGGGAUCACCAUAAUAAGCAUGGGAACGUCGAAGGGACCAAACACGGAGAAGGUUCAUGUCAUAGAAAUAAUGCUAAGAGAAGUCAGUACCCAGGACUAAAUGCAGGUAAGCAAGAAUCAUUGUCACUUCCAAGACAACAUUGACCUCAACUG